UCCUAACGGUUGUUACAAAUUGCGCCUCUUCGUAAGACUCUUUCCCAAACAAUGCGCCUCUUCCAAAAGGUUACAAACGCCUUUCAAAUUCCAUCAAUGUCUAUAUAAUGCAUUGCAGACUCCAACACACAACCAUUAACGAUAACCCAUCAAUGCAUUCCUUUAAUAAAAUAAAAUAGAUCUUUCUCUAACCUAUAAUUGUUAAAACCAUAUGGCCUAUUCACUUUUUUCAGAUUUGGAUACUACUAGGGAUGAUUGGUUGGUUAAGGUACGAGUUUGCCGGAUGUGGAAAUUUAAAAAUUAGAAGAGAAGCACGAGAUGAUAAGUCUGGACAUAAUACUUAUUGACGAAAAGGGAACUUUGAAACACGGAGUAAUCUGGAAAAAUCAUGUGAAUAGGUUUGGUUCUAAUAUAGACGAAGGCUCUGUGAUCAUUAUCAGGAACUUUAAGCUGUCUGAAAGUAUGGGUGAAUAGAGACCCGUAAAAUCUGAUGUUAAAAUAACCUUUAUGUGGAUAACUGCCAUACAAAAAAUGAAGGAUGAUACUGCUAAUAUCCCUAAAAAUGGAUUCCAAUUUAGUCAGCCAAACAUUAUUCGAUCAAGGGUCAAUAACAAGACCUAUCUAUCAGAUGUGGUCGGAUGCAUAUGUGGAAUAGGUGAUCUAGAUAGUGUUGGCUCAAAGUGGAAAAAAUGAGACUUGCACAUUCUUACUGAUCUCGAUGAUAGGUCAGCAAAAGCAAAAAUAACCAUAUGGGAAGAUGACGGGGAAGAAUUUUAUCCAUACUUAUUUCCUCUCGAGUUCGGUCCAUAUAUUGUCAUUGUAACAGCUACAACAGUGAAGGAAUUCAGAGGUGAAAUCAAUUUUUCCACCACCACAGCAACCAAAACUUAUAUUAAUCUUCCAAUGAACAACAUCACCUCAUUGAUAGAAAAGUUUACGAGUAAACCAGUUCACAUUCAAACAAUUGAGAGUACUAAGGGAAGCAACAUACCUAUUGCGGAGGCAAUGUUCCAAAACAGAAUGACUAUUACAGAGUUACUGAAUUAGGACUGGAGUAAUGACAUAGAGAUUAGAACCUUAAGAUCCAUUCAAACAUUAUGAAUAAUAGAAUACAUCAACAAGAUCAUACUCCAUAUUAAUUGGCUUUUUUUUAUUGGUUACUAGUAGUGUAUCGUUACAUUGAGGGUUCAGAUCAGUCAAAUAAAUACCUACUUUGAUUGGCACUACAUAUCAUGCAACUUCUGCAAUAAAAAAAUUGAACCUAAACAUGGCAUCUACACCUUCCAUAAGUGCGGAAAAGAAUGUGACUUUCUGUUGGUUAGGUAUGGCAACAGUUAAACAUGUACCACAUGUUCCUUUUAACCACACACUAAUUUUUUAUGGGACUCACAUGUACAAAAUACACAUUAAGGUUAAAGACAACCGAGGGAACACAACUUUGGUUCUUUUUAAUGGGUUUGCUGAAAAGUUGCUCGA